ensembl:lncRNA
GCGGUGUGGGUUCGUAGCUUAGCAAAGUCGUACUGAAACAUUUGAAAGAUUUUUGAGCGCCGUGUACCACAUAAAAUCGUUUCAAGAUGCAGUUAAAUACCUGGAGUGCUCAGCCUUGACCCAGUGUGAUCUGAAGACUGUGUUUGAUGAGGCCAUUCGUGCUGUCCUCUGCCCUCAGCCCGCCAAGGUCAAGAAGAAGCCCUGCUCGCUGCUGUAAACGACUCUCACAGGAGCACAGAAGAAGAGAAAAGGACUGCAGACCCUGAAGAAUAUAUGCAAAUUCUGCCAUGUCUCUAAUGUAUAUCUACAACUUUAAACAAAACAAAAAACAAAAAAAUGUAUGUAUUGCUAUUGUUUUAGAGAUGCCAACAAGCUCUUAAGUCCAAAUCCAGAUGCUGCACCAGACAGUUUCUUUGUAAAAUAUACCAGUUUAGAGAUUAUAGAUUUACCCUUUGAGUUUAAGUCUGAGAGCAGCAUGCUGCCUUCAUCUAAAGUACUGCCAACAAUAUAUAUGUGUUUUGUGAAACCUAAA